rnacentral:ncRNA from 1 species
GGCUUAUUAUUAAUUAAAAUUAUAUUUAUACAUGCAAGUCUCAGCACCCCCGUGAAAUGCCCUUCUUUACCCAUUAGUAGAUAAGGAGCAGAUAUCAGGCCUAAUAACGCCCAUAACAUCUUGCCAAGCCACACCUCCACAGGAAUUCAGCAGUAAUAAACAUUGAAAAAUAAGCGUCAAUAAGCUUGAAUCAGUAAAAAUUUUAAGAGUUGGUAAAUUUCGUGCCAGCCACCGCGGUUAUACGAGAAACUCAAAUUAAUAAAAACGGCCCAAAGCGUGAUUAAAUUAUAUUUAGACUAAUAGAAGUAAAAAUUAACUCGACUGUCGUACGUAUUUGUUAAAUGAAAAAUCAAAAACGAAAGAUAUUCUAACAAACAAAUUACUUGAAUCCACGAAAGCUAAGAAACAAACUAGGAUUAGAUACCCUACUAUGCUUAGCCUUAAACUUUGGAACCUACCCGCCUGAGUACUACGAGCCAUAGCUUAAAACUCAAAGGACUUGGCGGUGCUUUAUACCCCCCUAGAGGAGCCUGUUCUAUAAUUGAUACCCCCCGCUAAACCUCACCACUCAUUGCCAAUACCGCUUAUAUACCGCCGUCGUCAGCUCACCAUUUAAAUGAAAAAUAGUAGGCAUAAUGAUAAACAUAAAAACGUCAGGUCAAGGUGUAGCGAAUUGAGUGGAAAGAAAUGGGCUACAUUUUCUAAAUUAGAAAAUACGAAAAAUUUUAUGAAAAACAAUUUAAAGGUGGAUUUAGCAGUAAAAAGAAAACAGAGUGUUCUUUUUAAAUAGGCCCUAGAGCGCGCACACACCGCCCGUCACCCUCCUCAGAAAAAUAACUUAUAUAUAAUUUUUUUUAAAAAUAAAGAAGAGGAAAGUCGUAACACGUAG